rnacentral:rRNA from 1 species
UACGGAGGGUGCAAGCGUUAUCCGGAUUCACUGGGUUUAAAGGGUGUGCAGGCGGAUUAAUAAGUCAGUGGUGAAAUCCUACAGCUCAACUGUAGAACUGCCAUUGAUACUGUUAGUCUAGAGUAUGGUUGAAGUGGCUGGAAUGUGUCAUGUAGCGGUGAAAUGCAUAGAUAUGACACAGAACACCGACGGCGAAGGCAGGUCACUAAACCAUUACUGACGCUCAUACACGAAAGCGUGGGGAGCAAACAGG